rnacentral:rRNA from 1 species
AGAGUUUGAUCAUGGCUCAGGACGAACGCUGGCGGCGUGCUUAACACAUGCAAGUCGAGCGAGGCCCCUUCUUCGGGAGGGUGCCCUAGCGGCGAACGGGUGAGUAACACGUGGGCAACCUGCCCUCAGCUCUGGGAUAACUCCAAGAAAUUGGUGCUAAUACCGGAUGUGACCGCUGACCGCAUGGUCUGGUGGUGGAAAGAUUCAUCGGCUGGGGAUGGGCCCGCGGCCUAUCAGCUUGUUGGUGGGGUCACGGCCCACCAAGGCGACGACGGGUAGCCGGCCUGAGAGGGUGACCGGCCACACUGGGACUGAGACACGGCCCAGACUCCUACGGGAGGCAGCAGUGGGGAAUAUUGCGCAAUGGGCGAAAGCCUGACGCAGCGACGCCGCGUGAGGGAUGACGGCCUUCGGGUUGUAAACCUCUUUCAGUAGGGACGAAGCGCAAGUGACGGUACCUACAGAAGAAGCACCGGCCAACUACGUGCCAGCAGCCGCGGUAAUACGUAGGGUGCAAGCGUUGUCCGGAAUUAUUGGGCGUAAAGAGCUCGUAGGCGGUCUGUCGCGUCGGCUGUGAAAACCCGAGGCUCAACCUCGGGCCUGCAGUCGAUACGGGCAAACUGGAGUACUGCAGGGGAGACUGGAAUUCCUGGUGUAGCGGUGAAAUGCGCAGAUAUCAGAGGAACACCGGUGGCGAAAGGCGGGUCUCUGGGCAGUAACUGACGCUGAGGAGCGAAAGCGUGGGGAGCGACAGGAUUAGAUACCCUGGUAGUCCACGCCGUAAACGUUGGGCGCUAGAUGUGGGGGGGCCCAUUCCACCGUCUCCGUGCCGCAGCUAACGCAUUAAGCGCCCCGCCUGGGGAGUACGGCCGCAAGGCUAAAACUCAAAGGAAUUGACGG